UACGGAGGGUGCGAGCGUUUGUCCGGAAUCAUUGGGCGUAAAGGGCGCGUAGGUGGCCCGGUCAGUUCGUGGUGAAAGCGCGGGGCUCAACCCUGCGUCGGCCAUGAAUACUGCCGCGGCUGGAGCACUGUAGAGGCAGGCGGAAUUCCGGGGUGUAGCGGUGGAAUGCGUAGAGAUCCGGAAGAACACCGGUGGCGAAGGCGGCCUGCUGGGCUUGGUCUGACGUGAGGCGCGAAAGCGUGGGGGAGCGAACAGG
rnacentral:rRNA from 1 species